CGGGUCACGGGGGCGCCGGCGACUGAAAGGUGCCUUCGAUUGCACCCGCCGUCCAGCUGCAGUGAAUGUCCCUGCCUGUCUAGGAUGUGUCACUGAGCUCCGGCCCGCGGCCCCCGUGCUUUACGUGCCCGCGCUGCUAGCACCGCCACGUGUCGCACGGGUCACGGGGGCGCCGGCGACUGAAAGGUGCCUUCGAUUGCACCCGCCGUCCAGCUGCAGUGAAUGUCCCUGCCUGUCUAGGAUGUGUCACUGAGCUCCGGCCCGCGGCCCCCGUGCUUUACGUGCCCGCGCUGCUAGCACCGCCACGUGUCGCACGGGUCACGGGGGCGCCGGCGACUGAAAGGUGCCUUCGAUUGCACCCGCCGUCCAGCUGCAGUGAAUGUCCCUGCCUGUCUAGGAUGUGUCACUGAGCUCCGGCCCGCGGCCCCCGUGCUUUACGUGCCCGCGCUGCUAGCACCGCCACGUGUCGCACGGGUCACGGGGGCGCCGGCGACUGAAAGGUGCCUUCGAUUGCACCCGCCGUCCAGCUGCAGUGAAUGUCCCUGCCUGUCUAGGAUGUGUCACUGAGCUCCGGCCCGCGGCCCCCGUGCUUUACGUGCCCGCGCUGCUAGCACCGCCACGUGUCGCACGGGUCACGGGGGCGCCGGCGACUGAAAGGUGCCUUCGAUUGCACCCGCCGUCCAGCUGCAGUGAAUGUCCCUGCCUGUCUAGGAUGUGUCACUGAGCUCCGGCCCGCGGCCCCCGUGCUUUACGUGCCCGCGCUGCUAGCACCGCCACGUGUCGCACGGGUCACGGGGGCGCCGGCGACUGAAAGGUGCCUUCGAUUGCACCCGCCGUCCAGCUGCAGUGAAUGUCCCUGCCUGUCUAGGAUGUGUCACUGAGCUCCGGCCCGCGGCCCCCGUGCUUUACGUGCCCGCGCUGCUAGCACCGCCACGUGUCGCACGGGUCACGGGGGCGCCGGCGACUGAAAGGUGCCUUCGAUUGCACCCGCCGUCCAGCUGCAGUGAAUGUCCCUGCCUGUCUAGGAUGUGUCACUGAGCUCCGGCCCGCGGCCCCCGUGCUUUACGUGCCCGCGCUGCUAGCACCGCCACGUGUCGCACGGGUCACGGGGUCGCCGGCGACUGAAAGGUGCCUUCGAUUGCACCCGCCGUCCAGCUGCAGUGAAUGUCCCUGCCUGUCUACGAUGUGUCACUGAGCUCCGGCCCGCGGCCCCCGUGCUUUACGUGCCCGCGCUGCUAGCACCGCCACGUGUCGCACGGGUCACGGGGUCGCCGGCGACUGAAAGGUGCCUUCGAUUGCACCCGCCGUCCAGCUGCAGUGAAUGUCCCUGCCUGUCUACGAUGUGUCACUGAGCUCCGGCCCGCGGCCCCCGUGCUUUACGUGCCCGCGCUGCUAGCACCGCCACGUGUCGCACGGGUCACGGGGUCGCCGGCGACUGAAAGGUGCCUUCGAUUGCACCCGCCGUCCAGCUGCAGUGAAUGUCCCUGCCUGUCUAGGAUGUGUCACUGAGCUCCGGCCCGCGGCCCCCGUGCUUUACGUGCCCGCGCUGCUAGCACCGCCACGUGUCGCACGGGUCACGGGGUCGCCGGCGACUGAAAGGUGCCUUCGAUUGCACCCGCCGUCCAGCUGCAGUGAAUGUCCCUGCCUGUCUAGGAUGUGUCACUGAGCUCCGGCCCGCGGCCCCCGUGCUUUACGUGCCCGCGCUGCUAGGUGAGCAGCGACCCAAUCCGCUAUUACUUUUUUUUUCUCUCUUUUCCUUUUCCUUUUUCUUUCUUCUUUACUUGUAUCUGAGGGUAUACUUGGCUAAUACAACCUACGGGAGCAGUCAGGCAACGUAGCAGAACAGAUUAAGUUGGGACGCAUUUAUCAUUCAUGUUGGCUUUUUUCAUUUCUUCCUUUUUUUUGUUACUCAUAACUCGGCUCUGCCAUGCAGUCGACCAUCCAAUGAUCGUGUUAUCUUUCCUUGGCCUUAGCUGUGUUACAGUUUAUGCGUCGAGUAUUGCGCGGUCUAAAACCGUACGCCAUGAGACUCUAGCUUUGCAAGUAUGCCCUCGCGGCUAGCGGCUAAAAACCGCCAUCGCUUCGCAGUUUGCCGAGUGCUACUGUCCCACCCAUCGCGAUCAGCAAAAAAUCCGCUAUCGCGGACAUUUUGAGCAUAAUAUGGGUCGAAUACAUUAUACUAGAGCUGACUAAUCCACCCUCUAGCUAUGAGCUUGCCUGUGCAUUUAGCCGGUUCGGCUACCGGCAAAACAAUAGGUCACAGGUUCGA
rnacentral:lncRNA from 1 species